GAUGAACGCUGGCGGCGUGCCUAAUACAUGCAAGUCGAGCGAACAGACGAGGAGCUUGCUCCUCUGACGUUAGCGGCGGACGGGUGAGUAACACGUGGAUAACCUACCUAUAAGACUGGGAUAACUUCGGGAAACAGGAGCUAAUACCGGAGAAUAUAUUGAACCGCAUGGUUCAAUAGUGAAAGACGGCUUUGCUGUCACUUAUAGACGGAUCCGCGCCGCAUUAGCUAGUUGGUAAGGUAACGGCUUACCAAGGCGACGAUGCGUAGCCGACCUGAGAGGGUGAUCGGCCACACUGGAACUGAGACACGGUCCAGACUCCUACGGGAGGCAGCAGUGGGGAAUAUUCCGCAAUGGGCGAAAGCUUGACGGAGCAACGCCGCGUGAGUGAUGAAGGUCUUCGGGUCGUAAAGCUCUGUUGUUGGGGAAGAACAGAUGUGUGAGUAACUAUGGACGUCUUGACGGUACCUAAUCAGAAAGCCACGGCUAACUACGUG
rnacentral:rRNA from 1 species